UCGAAAUGUGGUAUGAUGUGUA
rnacentral:siRNA from 1 species